rnacentral:rRNA from 1 species
UUGGAGGGCAAGUCUGGUGCCAGCAGCCGCGGUAAUUCCAGCUCCAAUAGCGUAUAUUAAAGUUGUUGCAGUUAAAAAGCUCGUAGUUGAAUUUCGGGGUCAGCAGGUUGGUCGUGCCACUGGUAUGCACUGGCCUUGCUGAUUCCUCCCUCUUGAUGAGCCGUAAUGUCAUUAAUUUGGUGUUGCGGGGAAUCAGGACUGUUACUUUGAAAAAAUUAGAGUGUUUAAAGCAAGCAAGCGCUUGAAUACAUUAGCAUGGAAUAAUGAAAUAGGACGUUUGAUCCUAUUUUGUUGGUUUCUAGGAUUGACGUAAUGAUUAAUAGGGAUAGUUGGGGGCAUUAGUAUUCAAUUGUCAGAGGUGAAAUUCUUGGAUUUAUUGAAGACUGACUACUGCGAAAGCAUUUGCCGAGGAUGUUUUCAUUAAUCAAGAACGAAAGUUAGGGGAUCGAAGACGAUCAGAUACCGUCGUAGUCUUAACCAUAAACUAUGCCGACUAGGGAUCGGAUGAUGUUAAUUUUUUAAUGACUCAUUCGGCACCUUACGGGAAAC